ACGGUCCUAAGGUAGCGAAAUUCCUUGUCAGGUAAGUUCUGACCCGCACGAAAGGCGUAACGAUUUGGGCGCUGUCUCAGCUGUAGACUCGGUGAAGUCUUAGUACCUGUGAAGAUGCAGGUUACCCGCGACUAGACGGAAAGACCCCAUGGAGCUUCACUGCAGGUUGAUAUUGGGAUUUGAUGCAGCAUGUACAGGAUAGGUAGGAGGCAAAGAGAUGGAUACGCCAGUAUUCAAGGAGCCGCUGUUGGGAUACUACCCCUGUUGUAUUGGAUUUCUAACCGGACGACGUAGAACCGUUGACGGGACAGUGUCAGUCGGGCAGUUUGACUGGGGCGGUCGCCUCCCAAAGAGUAACGGAGGCGCCCAAAGAUACCCUCAGCUUGGAUGGAAACCAAGCGCAGAGUGCAAAGGCAAAAGGGUGUUUGACUGCGAGACCCACAAGUCGAGCAGGGACGAAAGUCGGGCUUAGUGAUCCGGCGGUGCUGAAUGGAAAGGCCGUCGCUCAACGGAUAAAAGCUACCCUGGGGAUAACAGGCUGAUCUCCCCCAAGAGUCCACAUCGACGGGGAGGUUUGGCACCUCGAUGUCGGCUCAUCGCAUCCUGGGGCUGAAGUAGGUCCCAAGGGUUGGGCUGUUCGCCCAUUAAAGCGGUACGCGAGCUGGGUUCAGAACGUCGUGAGACAGUUCGGUCCCUAUCUGUCGUGGGCGCAGGAAAUUUGAGAAGAGCUGUCCUCAGUACGAGAGGACCGGGAUGGACGCAUCAAUGGUGGACCAGUUGUCACGCCAGUGGCAUAGCUGGGUAGCUAAAUGCGGAAGGGAUAAACGCUGAAGGCAUCUAAGUGUGAAACCCACUUCAAGAUGAGAUUUCCCAUUGCGCAAGCAAGUAAGACCCCUUAAAGACGAUAAGGUAGAUAGGUCAGGAGUGUAAGCAUGGUGACAUGUUAAGCGGACUGAUACUAAUAGGUCGAGGGCUUGACCGA
rnacentral:rRNA from 1 species